AGCAGCCGCGGUAAUUCCAGCUCCAAUAGCGUAUAUUAAAGUUGUUGCAGUUAAAAAGCUCGUAGUUGAAUUUCGGGAUCAAAUUGUCGGUCGUGCCUCGGUACGCACUGGUAUUAUUGGUUCCUACCUUCUGAAGAACCGCGAUGUCAUUAAUUUGGUGUCGUGGGGAAUCAGGACUGUUACUUUGAAAAAUUAGAGUGUUUAAAGCAGGCUUACGCUUGAAUACAUUAGCAUGGAAUAAUGAAAUAGGACGUUUGAUUCUAUUUUGUUGGUUUCUAGGAUUGACGUAAUGAUUAAUAGGGAUAGUUGGGGGCAUUAGUAUUCAAUUGUCAGAGGUGAAAUUCUUGGAUUUAUUGAAGACUAACUACUGCGAAAGCAUUUGCCAAGGAUGUUUUCAUUAAUCAAGAACGAAAGUUAGGGGAUCGAAGACGAUCAGAUACCGUCGUAGUCUUAACCAUAAACUAUGCCGACUAGGGAUCGGAUGAUGUUAAUUUUUUAAUGACUCAUUCGGCGCCUUACG
rnacentral:rRNA from 1 species